rnacentral:tRNA from 1 species
AAGUAGCCGCCGGUAGAACGGAUGUCAUUGAUGUUGAUAAUUAUAAACCUUUAGGGUUUGCUGCUUG